ensembl:lncRNA
AGAAACCACACACACAUGCGAAGCAGAAUUUCUUCAGUGUACUGAGUUGUGGUGACAUUAAAUGGGUUAUUCCCGCAUACCUGAUGCUUCAUAGCGUGUGUAUCAAACGUUAAAUUCUCAUAACAGAAAGAAGAGCUAGCAGUAGCAACUCAUUUUGACAUUUUCCUUUUCUGUUGUUCUCUGGUUACUGUGGAGGUAGUCUGACAGUUCAUCCACCUGCCUCAUCUGAAGCUUUCUUCGAUAGCUCGUUUUGUCUGUGGACACAUGCAGCACCAAGACUUGCCUUUUCAGGCACAAAGGUCACACUGAUGAAUUCCAGAAAUCUUUUGCCUCUUCAGUUAUUGAGCGAGUUACAAGGGUUAAAUGUAAUAUUGAAAAAAACAAUCGUCUAGUUUUUGUUUCCUCAAUCUACAUACACUGCUUCAACACACUUCCACCAGGCUGGUUCAACUCGUCCUCAAAAGCAUAUUUCUUAAGCUUCUAAAACAUACCAGAAUAUAAUAUUAAUCCUGCAAGGAAAAGGAACGCUGUGAUUUGUUUUUACAACCACAUUUGUAUAUGAGUGUGUAUGAGACCUCCUUCUGCACAUGCUCAGACUUGAGAGUCCUUGCAUACAAACCACAUCCUGAUUCACUCAAGAUAAAAGAUCUGCUGUAGGUUUGAGGAUUUUACCAAAUCAGCUCACCUGUUCAAACAGAUCACUUCAAACUCCUAGACAAACCAUGGAUUUUGAGAACAGCAUAGAAGGAUGUAAACACUGCAACAAGAAUUGCAAUAACAAUUGCCAAUGUCAUUGUCAUACAAUAACCCAAAGUCCUAAACCUAAGCAAAGGACUGAGGAGAAGACGUGUGAAGGGCCUUCAAAAGAGUGCGGCUCCUGUGAUUUCAUCCCCUGUGAUUGUGACUCCUGUGACUGCGGCUCCUGUGACUGCAGCUCCUGUGAUUAUGGCCCCUGUGAUUGUGACUCCUGUGACUGUGGCUCUUGUGACUGUGGCUCCUGUGAUUGCGACUCCUGUGAUGGUGGCGCCGGUGAUGGUGGCUCAUAUCAUUGCGGCUCCUGUCAUUGUGGCCCCUGUGAUUGUGGCCCUUGUGAUUGCGGCUCCUGUGAUUGUGGCUCCUGUGAUUGCGGCUCCUGUAUUAUUCAGUGAAUGUUUGCAGGAUGUUGGUCAGACAGGUCUGCACAGUGACAGCCACCCGCUACGGUAUAUUCAUGGCAAAUCUCUCUGCCUGCAUUUUCGUCUGGGACGAAGGAGAUGUGGCCCUGCUGAGGGAGGCGAAAAGGAGGGAGCUGGAGCAACAGCAGGGCAUCAGAGGCCACUGCUGCACACGUGAUGUGGAGGAGACAGAGCAGCCGAUCGGAUAGAUGCUGGAGGCUCUCAAGGACGCCAGGGAAACCAUGGGCAUCCCCUUGGUGGACCGGAC